GGUGCAAGAGUGAUGUUGGGUCAACGUCACACUUCAACGUUGCUUCAAUGACGUCGCCUGAUAUUGACUCAACAUUGUUUCAUUUGUCUACAGUGUUUCUUCUGUGGUUCGUGUACAGAAACCUGUAAACAGACAGGUACUUUUAGCACUACUACUCGUGCUGAGCACUUAACGUUGAGCCAUUCUGUCUUACUCACAGGGUCCAGUUUCCUGCACAGAACAGACAUUACUGCUACUGCAUGUGCUGAAGACCCAAUUAGGUAUUUAUUAGGUGUCGUCCUCCAGCUUAAGUAGGAAGCUGCUGAUCACACAGUUAUUCACAGGUGAGUUAAUCAUCUGCAAGAGCUGGCAGCAGGGAGCAGGAGACGGACCACCUCUAAAAUACAAGGUGUGUUUAAUCCAUAAUCACACACAGAGACAUAAACACCAGAGCAUCAUGGCAAAACAAAGAGUGAGUAAGAUGUGUUGCAACUGUAAUGGAUUUCAGUCUUUAUAAGUGUCACCAUAACAACGGUCUACACUCAUGUACAAACGAGAGGUGCAUCUUCUCGAGUUCAGUGAACUUAUGACUGGGGGGUUAAAACCUGGAUUAUUUUGGUAAACUGGAGGAAUGACAGAUAUCCAUGUACCAACUUUGGAAACAACAUUUUUGGAUGUUUCACCACUGUUUGUAUUUUUCUUAUUACUUGAAGCCUCUAACAGUGGAGACUGGUGGGGGCACAGAGACAACUUACAGGUGUUAAAGGAGAAGUGGAGUGAAGGGACACCCCUCCCCUGCAGGUAGAUUUCCCCAUGUAGCACACUGCAGUGGAAGCUCGGAUACAGAAGCUGUGCUGCACAGAGGGAAAGUGUGGGACAGAUGGAGAGCUGACAUUUCAGAGCUGAAAGAAAGAAUGACUGACCGGGAGUGCUUCCUGGGUUAAAACUGCCAUAGAAAUGAUCAUCUAUAUAAAACUAAAAGCUACAAUGGCCAAGCUGACUUUAGAUUGGCUUCCCAUACAGAAGAAUCAUUUUGAAGUGGUUUGUGGCUGUGGUUGUUUCUAGUUUCUACUGGGACCAAUCCUGUUCUCUGCCUUUGUGACCCGAUGAUCUAAAAACAUGUACAAGUCCAGGCUCAGUCUGCGACAGCAACUGCAGUGACUAGCUGUCACACUUUAUGGGUUGUUUUAUGUGCUGUGGUGCUGAACUUUCUGUUUGCUAAGCCUAACUUAGUGGCUUAGUGAACUAAUAUGUCUGUGGAAGGUUCUCAGUCAUCCAGGUCAUCGUAGUCUGAGGAGCUUGGAAAGAAAAAUGCGUCUGGACUUUAAGUGCUUGAAGACGUUUCACCUCUCAUCCGAGAAGCCUCAAGACAUGCUUCCCCCACACUGGAUCCUCACCAAUUUGCCUAUCGAAUCAACAGGAGUACAGAGGAUACUGUACCCACAGCGCUUCACUGUGUACUCUCACACCUGGACAAGAAUGCUGUUUGUUUCCUUCAUGUGGAAACAGAAAAUGGGCACAAGAACAGUUUAAGGGAGGAAAGAGUUUGAUUGUAUAGUUCGGGUCACUCCCUUGGUGAGGAAUGUCAAAUGAAGGAGAGUGACAGCGAGUAAGAGAAGAUCCCAGAAUGAUGUCUAAAGAACAGUUAGGAGAUCGUGUGUGUCUGUGUGUCUUUAGAGGACACUUUGUGAUGUAAGGAGCCAGGAUGUAGUUCCACGCAGAGCCGUUAGACACAUUCAGACACACAGAAACUUCUACAACUGCAGAUACAGAUGUAUGCAUCAUGCGUGGUGUCACACAGAGGUCAUGUAUUAGCCCAGGCACAGACCUGAGCCACAGCCACCCCCAAGUAAUUCAUAAACAAAUCAUCUGCUGAUCGGAAAGUUAGUGGUUGGUGGUCUGUGUGCCAAAGUAUUCCUGAACCCAGUUUGCUUCACUGGAGUGUGAAUGUAGAAAGUGCUAUAAAAAGCAGUCUGUUAUUUCAUUGUUACUAAACACUUAUAUGAGAAUCAGCUUGUUUGUUAAAAUAAAAAUGAAAAU